UUGAAUUGUCAAAUUACAAUCCAAAUGCAAACGUGUUUGAGGCGACUGAAUUAUUAGUUGAUUCCGUUGCUUGGUCAAGAUUUUAUUACGAAGUAAUAGAAAUGAUUUUGGUCAGAAGUUGCUUUGCUUCACGGUAAUGAAGAGAUAUAAGGAAACGGAGGAGGAGCUCAAGGGAACUAAAGGCAGAAGAAUAAAGAAGUAAGGAGUGAGGGUAGAUGACAGCCUCCAAGGCAAUAACUAGGCAGUUCCCCUUUUGCCAUUUCUGCUUUACCAUGGAGGUUGUCCGCUAGGACUGAGAAGGGGAUGCUUGCUUGAACUCCUUUUGGAGGCGUUGAUGGGAAGCAUAUAAACCACAAGGUGGAGCAGGAGCUUCUCGCCUUCUCCGCGUCGUCGUUGACGGCAGGGACAUGUCAAGUUCGACGAGUUCCCGUACCUUUUGUUCUUCAGAAGACCACGCCACUGGAGUUCAUGUUCAGUAGACCCUCAACCUGCUCGCUGCCAAUAUGCGGCGGCA